AUGUCACAAUCAGUGGCCAAUUGCAACAGAUAUGUAUGUUCUUCAGGCUCUCGAUGGGGGUCCAGUGGCGAUAUUAUAAUGACUCAGACUCCACUCGCCCUGGCUGUCACCCUGGGAGAGAUCUCCUGCAGGUCAAGUCAGAGCCUCAUAAAUAGCGAUGGAGAUAGCCUUCUGUAUUGGCUCCUUCAGAAGCCUGGCCAGUCACCACAGAGAUUGAUCUAUUGGGCUUCCAAACGACCUUCUGGGGUCCCAGACAGAUUCAGUGGCAGUGGGUCAGGCACAGAUUUCACACUGCAAAUCAGCAGGGUGGAGGCUGAGGAUAUUGGCGUUUAUUACUGCAUGCAAGAUUAUACUCCUCCCACAGUGAUACAGUCCUUAACAUAA